rnacentral:rRNA from 1 species
ACGAUGUCUACUUGGAGGUUGUGCCCUUGAGGCGUGGCUUCCGGAGCUAACGCGUUAAGUAGACCGCCUGGGGAGUACGGCCGCAAGGUUAAAACUCAAAUGAAUUGACGGGGGCCCGCACAAGCGGUGGAGCAUGUGGUUUAAUUCGAUGCAACGCGAAGAACCUUACCUGGUCUUGACAUCCACAGAACUUUCCAGAGAUGGAUUGGUGCCUUCGGGAACUGUGAGACAGGUGCUGCAUGGCUGUCGUCAGCUCGUGUUGUGAAAUGUUGGGUUAAGUCCCGCAACGAGCGCAACCCUUAUCCUUUGUUGCCAGCGAUUAGGUCGGGAACUCAAAGGAGACUGCCAGUGAUAAACUGGAGGAAGGUGGGGAUGACGUCAAGUCAUCAUGGCCCUUACGACCAGGGCUACACACGUGCUACAAUGGCGCAUACAAAGAGAAGCGACCUCGCGAGAGCAAGCGGACCUCAUAAAGUGCGUCGUAGUCCGGAUUGGAGUCUGCAACUCGACUCCAUGAAGUCGGAAUCGCUAGUAAUCGUGGAUCAGAAUGCCACGGUGAAUACGUUCCCGGGCCUUGUACACACCGCCCGUCACACCAUGGGAGUGGGUUGCAAAAGAAGUAGGUAGCUUAACCUUCGGGAGGGCGCUUACCACUUUGUGAUUCAUGACUGGGGUGAAGUCGUAACAAGGUAACCGUAGGGGAACCUGCGGUUGGA